GGGCGGUUGGCGCAAUGGUAGCGCGUUGGUUUUCGGCAGAUGUACACCAAAGGCUGUGGGUUCGAGCCCCAUGCUGCUCG
rnacentral:tRNA from 1 species